rnacentral:rRNA from 1 species
AUGACCUCAAAUCAGAUGAGACUACCCGCUGAACUUAAGCAUAUCACACUGGACCAUGUCUAAAUUGUAAUGAUCCACAGUCCUUUGAUGGAGUAUCAGAGAGGGUAAUAAUCCCGUCUUUAAC